rnacentral:rRNA from 1 species
UACAGAGGUGGCAAGCGUUGUUCGGAAUUACUGGGCGUAAAGGGCGCGUAGGCGGCCUACUAAGUCAGACGUGAAAUCCCCCGGCUUAACCUGGGAACUGCGUCUGAUACUGGAAGGCUUGAGGAUGGGAGAGGGAUGUAGAAUUCCAGGUGUAGCGGUGAAAUGCGUAGAUAUCAGGAAGAACACCCGUGGCGAAGGCGGCUCUCUGGAACGCAACUGACGCUGAGACGCGAAAGCGUGGGGAGCAAACAGG